GCAGAACUACAAUAAAUUGUAUUAUUAAUAGCACAUCCAAAAUAAUUAAUUAUAUGCGCACAGUCGUUACUUCAAAAAAUUAAUUUUCUAAAUUUUAAUAUAUCGAAAGACAUUUUUACAAUUAUUUAUCAUAUAUCACAUAUUAAACACACUUUUUGCAUUAUUUAAUUAAUUUAUUUUGUCAUGUACUCACCGUUCGAGAUCCGUUCCCUCACAUGGAAAAUGGUAAGUUCGUCCCUCCUCGCUGCAGCCUGCAACACACUUUCUCCAUUUUAAGUUUGAUUUUAGCAUUUCGGCUGUAAAAUAACGUUAAAAAUUAUUAAAUACAUGCAAAUUUAUCUAAUAAAAAUUAAAAUAUACUUACCAGUUCACAAGCUGCGUGCUGUUUUUCUUUCGUUAUUCUUCGUAAUAACGGCCGUUACAAAUGGAGAGUAAAAAUUAAAAAUGUCUCCAUUCCCAUUAUAAUUUUGUGUGAUUUCAAUCUGGCUUUGACAGUUCUGAGUUCAGUAGGUUUUGACGUCUAGCAAUUGCUCUCUCAUUUCCAGUGAGAUACGAGUUGGGCAUCCCAUUAUCCCUGAUGUGCAGUAUGUUUAGGGUCGUUGUUUUUUGGAAAACAUAAAUCUUCCUUUAUCCCCAUUUUUUCCGCACUCUGCAACAAAUUAUUUUUCAAUAAAUUAAGGUAAACCUCUUUGGUCAUUAUUCCAUCGAUUAUAACAAGCACUACGAUGGAUUGCUCUGCGCACUGUAUCUGAUGAUACUGAUAUAUUUUUAGCAAUUUCCAAACUAGUGGCUAUUUUAAGAGCACUUUCAAAUGUAUUCUUUGAUUCUUGACUAUGCCUUUGAUAAAACGUUCAUCACGGUCCAGAAGCAAUUUCGGUCUGCCAGACCUUAGUAAAGUUGAUUUGCUACUUUCCACCAUUUUUUCGAUUUCCGAUAAAGAUUUACCAUCUUUAGAGUUAGAAAUUACAACUUUUCUUUUUUCUGAACUUAAUUCUCUUCUCUUCAUUAUGUUUAAAAUUAUUACAAUUGCAAUUGUCACUUAACUUAAACUAAAGUGAAUGACAGAAAAUUUAUGAUUAAACAGACAAAAUAUGUGGUAUGCAGAGGAAUUUAUUUGAAAGAAGUUCUCUGUUUUGGGAGAAAGUUCUCCAAAAUAUUAAUAGAGUGGACGCGGGAUUCCCUUUUAGUCGGGACGACAUUACCAGAAAAUUUUUAAAUUAUAUGAUAAAGUAUAAGCGGAUUCUAAAACGGAGUAGCACAUAUUCGGAGUUUGAUAGAACUUCGCUAAAGCCAAAAAAACGUGAAGUUUUAAUUUUAUUUUGGAAGGGAAGCCUCUGCGGAUAAAGAAAUGGUAAACAAGUUAUUGAAAGUGUUGGGUUAAUACUGCUGUCUAUGGCUAAUCAAAAUUGUAUUAAUCAGCAAAGGUUAAGCGCAGAGAAGUGUUCAAAAAUGAUCAUGUGCGUUAGGACCACAAGGGCCCCACUUAGAGGGCGUGCAGCAAUAAAUUUAGUUUUAUUAUUUUACACAUUAAGAUAAGAAAUAUGUUAGAAUAUACAGUCCACUAAUCCUAAAUAUGUAUGCUCAAAUAUAUUUAACAGGCAUACAUACAUACAUAAGCAAACACAUAAACAAAUAUACACUCAUAUGAUAACUUGUAGACCUAAGAUAUAUAUUUAGGCAAUUGAUUACAAGUGCACAUGAGCACUUGAAAACAAUCCCAUAACAUGUAGCAUAAACAAUGUGCUACAUACAUACGGACAUACACACACACACAUGUAUUGAGUUGUACUUAAAAACAACCCUAUGUGGUGUGCGUGCCACAUACGCACAUACAUAUGUAUAAAUUUAAUUAGAUAGUAAGAUUUGUAAAUAGUAUAUAAGCGAUGCAUUUAACAAAAUAAAAUUAGAAUGAAUAAGUUCUCAGCUCAAUGAAGUCUAUUUCUGUCCCCCACCAGCGGUAAGGCAAUUAGAAUCUUUAUUGAGUUUAAUAAUUGGUCUUACAAAUCAAUUAUUCAGAAGUACAAAUAAGUAUGUAAACUGUUAUUUAAAUAAACUUUAUUCUAGUUUUAAAUGGAAA